rnacentral:rRNA from 1 species
UGCAAGUCGAACGAUGACGGCCGUGCUUGCACGGUCUGAUUAGUGGCGAACGGGUGAGUAACACGUGAGUAACCUGCCCUCCACUUCGGGAUAACCUCGGGAAAUCGUGGCUAAUACCGGAUAUGAGCACUCAUCGCAUGGUGGGUGUUGGAAAGAUUUAUCGGUGGGGGAUGGACUCGCGGCCUAUCAGUUUGUUGGUGAGGUGAUGGCUCACCAAGACGAUGACGGGUAGCCGGCCUGAGAGGGCGACCGGCCACACUGGGACUGAGACACGGCCCAGACUCCUACGGGAGGCAGCAGUGGGGAAUAUUGCACAAUGGGCGAAAGCCUGAUGCAGCGACGCCGCGUGAGGGAUGACGGCCUUCGGGUUGUAAACCUCUUUCAGUAGGGAAGAAGCGAGAGUGACGGUACCUGCAGAAGAAGCGCCGGCUAACUACGUGCCAGCAGCCGCGGUAAUACGUAGGGCGCAAGCGUUGUCCGGAAUUAUUGGGCGUAAAGAGCUUGUAGGUGGCUUGUCGCGUCUGCCGUGAAAACCCGAGGCUCAACCUCGGGCGUGCGGUGGGUACGGGCAGGCUAGAGUGUGGUAGGGGAGACUGGAACUCCUGGUGUAGCGGUGAAAUGCGCAGAUAUCAGGAAGAACACCGAUGGCGAAGGCAGGUCUCUGGGCCAUUACUGACACUGAGAAGCGAAAGCAUGGGUAGCGAACAGGAUUAGAUACCCUGGUAGUCCAUGCCGUAAACGUUGGGCACUAGGUGUGGGGGGCAUUCCACGUUUUCCGCGCCGUAGCUAACGCAUUAAGUGCCCCGCCUGGGGAGUACGGCCGCAAGGCUAAAACUCAAAGGAAUUGACGGGGGCCCGCACAAGCGGCGGAGCAUGCUGAUUAAUUCGAUGCAACGCGAAGAACCUUACCAAGGCUUGACAUGCACUGGACGGCUGCAGAGAUGUGGCUUUCUUUGGACUGGUGCACAG